rnacentral:lncRNA from 1 species
UUUCUCUUUCCAUUUUCAGUUGUGUUACUUGAUACUACAACUGCCCUGGGAGAACUAGGAUGGAAAACAUUUCCCUUAAAUGGGAGUUAAGGUUAGACAGAAAAAUGACAGAAUUUCUUCUGUGAAGACAAAUUUAGGCACAGGAACACUUACUAAAGGUAAUGGAUUGCAGUUUUGGUUGACAAAAUGAUGAAAAUUGAAUAACAGCAAUUAAC